rnacentral:lncRNA from 1 species
GUGAAAAUUGAUUUAUUUGUAAGCACCCCCUUACGUUUUUGUCUGUUUAAUCUCCGUUUAGGUAGUUUGGGGCAUUUAUGACAAUUCAUGAGAGAACUAAAAGUUUUGCAAAAUCUGGUGGCUCAAGCGCAUAACUAAGACUUGCCUUUUUAGUCACUAUACUUUGAGACCCAAAUUUCCUAGGUUUUCCAAAAGCCUUCGAUUGAAUGCAUUUUGAGCUCAUUGUUAUCAAAACUUGAAUUGUUGGACCAUUAACCCUUGACCCACAAAGACAUUUGUUGAAUGCAUGCACGCAAUUGGCUUUAGUGCAUAAUCAUUUCAAGUAAUGAAAAAACAUUUGAUUUGAGCACCAAAUCUUGCAACCCCCGAUUGAACCCCUGCGAGACUCAAUCCUUGAACGAAGUCAGCAACUUCACCAAGUCAUCCUCAUUGCCACCAUCUCUAUCCACAUGUGUUCAAAGCUUUUUUAGUCCUUCAACAUGCUCUUUGUUAAUCCACACUUCAAUUUUAGUCUCGAUGGAGCCAACAACUCAGAUGAUGGAGUGAGUCAAGACUCGCCGAGUCAAGAAACUUUUGAGGCUAUUAUGGUCGUGCUAUCUAUGGAGGUUUGGACAAGGGUUUUGAGGUCGGCGAGGUGUCGAGCGAGAGUAGGGAAAUACGGUCAUUGGAGAGGAGGGCAUCAUAUUCAGUCUCAAGCUCAAGCGAAGCUUUAAUGGCAAAUGAGUUGAACUCGACCAAGUUGGAACUAGAGUGCACUUGGAGGUCGACUUCUCAACUGAGGCUUGCUUAAGAGCUUCUAGGACGUUGAGCACUCGUGGAGAUUGUUCCUGCCAUGAUGGAUCUUCCAUAAAUAGGGAUGGCAAUGGGCACCACCCGCAGUGGGUUUGCCAUUACCAAACUCAAACCCGCACAAAAUUUAAAUUACCAAACCCACCCGCAACCCGCAGCGGGUUUUAAUUUUUUUAAAAAAACCCACCCGCAACAGGUUUUAACAAUUACCAAACCCGCAAUGGUAUCCGGCGGAUUUUUUGUGGGUUUCCGUAUUUAAAAUCACAAAUGUUUAAUAUAUAAAUUUAUAAUAAUAACCUCAAAUUUCAUAUAACAUACUCAAUUUUAUAUUUAAACAAUGUAAAUGAAAAAUUAAAAUUUUCACAUCAAUUCAACACAAAUUCUCAAAUUUAAGUAUAAAUUACACAAAUCUAUUUAAAAAACACAAACUAGUAUCUAAAAAUAAUAAUUACAUUUCAUAUUAUCAUUUAAAACAAGCUCCAAGAGAAGAUAUUCAUUUCAUUCACCACCAUAAGCACCCAUCCAACACAAUGCCUAUAAUAAUAAUUAAGAUUAAUAUUUUUAAAUACUAAUUCGAAGGGAAAUGCCUUUAGUUUUCUUUAGGUUAUGAUUUUAGAAUAGGAGAUGGGCCACAUACAUACAUACACAACUUUGAGCCUUUGGCUAUUUGGUAAUUUGAUUAAUGACAUUAUUUUCUUUAUACAUU